rnacentral:rRNA from 1 species
CUGCUGCCUUCCGUAGGAGUUUGGGCCGUGUCUCAGUCCCAAUGUGGCCGUUCACCCUCUCAGGCCGGCUACUGAUCGUUGGUUUGGUGGGCCGUUACCCCGCCAACUGCCUAAUCAGACGCGGAUCCAUCUCACACCACCUCAGUUUUUCACACUGUCCCAUGCGAGACUGUGCGCUUAUGCGGUAUUAGCAGUCAUUUCUAACUGUUAUCUCCCUGUGUGAGGCAGGUUAUCCACGCGUUACU